AAUUAAAUUUCACAUUACAAUUUCUAAAUUUAAGGUGUACUGUGUUACUUUUGAUGUACUCGUACUAUAAUACGAUUGUCAAUAAAGCAAUAUUUAUAUUAUAUCAAUAUAGUACAGUAUUAUAGAUGACAUUCAUUAUAUUAUAUUCUUUACUGCCUGUUACAAGUUUGUAACCCUUAAAUACCAUCAAUCUUAUCCCCCUAUUCCCACACCCUGGUAAUCACCAUUUUACCCCCCUUUUUUAAAACAGGUUCAACAUUUUCUUUCUCUUUUUUGUUUUUUGGGGGCACACCUGUGGCAUGAAGUUCAGCCAGGCAACUUCUGAAUAAGCUGCUGCAGUGCCAAUACCAAAUCCUUAACCUGCUGUGUCACAAGAGAACUCCAACUUCUUUUUAUAUUUGACAUUUAAGUGAUAUCUAUCAUACCGUACUUGUCUUUGUGUGACUUAUCUUGCAUAGCAUAAUGUGAUCAAGGUACACCCAUAUUGUUACAAAUGGCAGGAUGCCUUUCUCAUGGCUGAAUAAUAUCCCACUGGGUAUAUAUAUUACGCCUUUUUAAUCUAUUCAUCCAUUGAUGGGCACUUGGGUAGUUUCCACAUCUUGGCUAUUGUGAAUAAUUCUGCAAUAAAUAUGAGUGUGCAAAUAUCUUGUCAAAAUCUUAUUUUCAUUUCCUUUGGGUAUAUACUCAGGAGUGAACUGAUGGACCAAAUGGUAGAUUUACUUUUAAUAUUUUGAGGAACCUCUAUAUUGUUUUACAUAGUGGUUGGACUAAUUUAUAUUCCCACCAACAGUGUGUAGGGGGUUCUCUUUUCACCAUAUCCCCUUUCUCCCUUCCUUCCUUCUCCCCCCACCCCCGCCCUUUUUCCUUUUUUUGUCUUUUUAGGGUCACGCCCACGGCGUAGAGAACUUCCCAGGCUAGGGGUGUGGCCGUAAAAAAUGAAACAAAACAAAACAAAAAUACAGUGUUCAGUUUCAUGUAUGUAGUCACUGAGGAGACAGUUACUGAGCACUAAUGUCUAUGUGAAAGCAUACAGUUUACUGAGUUCUCACUUUCAUAAUAAACUUUUGAGUUCCUAAAAAUAUUUUAGUAUACAGUAAUAGUUGAGAUUAUCAAAUAUUUAAAGAAAUAAAUCAAGUAAAAUAUGUCCUAUGAAAUAGUCUCCCACUACAUUUAAAAAUCUGACUUAAAGCAGUGACUCAAGUGUUGAGGAUGCCACAAACAGAUGGCAUUUUAUUCUUAUAUAUAUGAUGGUUAAAGGAGUUAUUUAGUAUGAACUGGAGUAGAAGACUGAGCAGGGAAUUUGAGAAAAAACUGCUAAAGAAAGGAAGAAAACUGAGGAGGUUUGAGUUUCAAUUUUAUCUGACACUGAUCAACUCAGUCUUUAUGCUUUAGUAUAAAAAGGUGACAAUCUCAUCAAUUAACAGAAACCACCAAGGGGGGAUGGUCUUGUGAGAAGCACAGUUUUAUGGUAUCAAAGACUUGAUUUUGUGGCUGAAAAUCAACAUUCUGUGCUGUUCUGCUGAUCCUCAGAGAUUCCUUAAAGAGCUGAAAACUUAAACUAUUAUUUAUUUGGAAAAUAUUUUUCCUCAUCUAUUUUAUAAAUUAUAUUGAUAUUUUAAAUAGCAUUGAGUUCAUUUUCAAAGUUGUUUAUUAGAUCCACAAUAUCUACAGGUUUAAGACAGAAACUUGAGAGGAAUUUCUGAGCUGGUGUCAAACUGAUAACCUCUAGACUGUCAGCAAGUGAACUUUCUCCAUGUA
rnacentral:lncRNA from 1 species